rnacentral:rRNA from 1 species
AUUGAACGUUGGCGGCAUGGAUUAGGCAUGCAAGUCGAGCGAGAAGUGUAGCAAUACACGGAAAGCGGCGGAAGGGAGAGUAAUACGUGGGAAUCUGCCCUUAGACCUGGGAUAGCAGCGGGAAACUGCUGGUAAUACCAGAUAAUGUCUAUGGACCAAAGGUGUGAUUCCGUCUAGGGAUGAGCCCACGUCCUAUUAGCUAGUUGGUAGGGUAAUGGCCUACCAAGGCGAUGAUGGGUAGCGGGUGUGAGAGCAUGACCCGCCUCACUGGAACUGAGACACUGCCCAGACACCUACGGGUGGCUGCAGUCGAGAAUCUUCGGCAAUGGGCGCAAGCCUGACCGAGCGAUGCCGCGUGCGGGAUGAAGGCCUUCGGGUUGUAAACCGCUGUCGAGGGGGAGCGACUUCCAUAGAGUUAUCUUUAUGGAUUGAGUGAUCCCUGGAGGAAGGACGGGCUAAGUUCGUGCCAGCAGCCGCAGUAACAC